rnacentral:rRNA from 1 species
UACGAAGGGGGCUAGCGUUGUUCGGAAUUACUGGGCGUAAAGCGUAUGCAGGCGGACUUUUAAGUCGGGGGUGAAAUCCCGAGGCUCAACCUCGGAACUGCCUUCGAUACUGGAAGUCUUGAGUCCGGGAGAGGUGAGUGGAACUCCGAGUGUAGAGGUGAAAUUCGUAGAUAUUCGGAGAACACCAGUGGCGAAGGCGGCUCACUGGCGUCGG